rnacentral:sRNA from 1 species
UUGCUCUCACUAUGGACGGGCCGUGUGCAUAUGAGCUGCAAGACGGACCUCUUUCGGAUCUAUCAAACAUUGGGCCACGUUUCCCUGAUGAUCUCACCAACAGUAUUGUUCAGAAUAACCUCGCCUCAUAGACCUUCAAGUCCUUGGGUGCCGGUUAGCUCUAUAUAGAAGUUCAUUGAAGUUUUCAUCCAGGGAACCGCAAUGCUGGAUUCGUCAGAUGUCAAGACCUUGCACGACCACUGGAAUGACAUCGCCUCCAACAUGCUGCUUCGCAUAGUCAUCGCAGGCUGUGCGAGUUGCCGACGUCUUCUCGAAGAAAUUCUCGAUAUCUCGCUCAACUGAAUACUCCAUAUUACUGGCGGCCACAAUGGAUAUAGAUUACAGAGUUAGGUCAUUGAUAGACGAAGCAUUGCCUCAGUCGGGACAGCUAGCGUGAGGUUAGAGCAUGGAAAUGCAGAUAGUGUGUUUGAAUCAAUACCGCGUUGCUGCCUGGAGAUACGGGCCUUGAUGGGGUUUCUCGAUGCACGGGAUACCAUACUUGUCUGAACGAUCCAUGCGCGCAACCUUGGACGAAAUUCCUGUACUAGUUUUAAACACCCAACUCAACUUCAUCCCUUUCAUCCAUUCCAUUACAUUGCUUACAGUUAUGAGGUAUGGGCAGUGACCUAAACAUGAUGUUAAUGUUAUAAACCCCACACAUCUAUCUGCCAGCGGGGUUGAACCAGUUCAUCAAUCAGACACUCAAACAACCAGCGUAUCGGCCCAGCUGGGAAUACAAAGUGUGCAUGCACGUUCAGCAAUCCGUGGAGGAGAUUCCACGGCUACACAUUGCCUCAGACAGUGUUCGGUAUACAGUGUUCCUCCUCCUCUAUCCGUCGAUGGAUGUUUGUAUCAUUGCCAGUUUCUAGAAAUCAUCUUCCCAUGUUGUAUCUACUUGAAUUUCUGGAACAUCUGUCAAAUAAAUCAUCUGGGCAGCCAUUGUUAACUCCUUGCUUAUUUCUUGUUCUUUUUUACACAGACUCUGUUGUUAGCUCAUGGCAACAUUCGUGUUGAGAGCGGGGAUGUCAAACGGGUUGGGUCAAUGAUAUUUCCUCACGGCCGGUAUGUAUGGGUAACAGCCCGGGAUUGGGCUGCAACAGUGCUCCAUUUCAUUGGGUUUCGAUCUCGUCGCCCAAUAUCUAGCUCUCGACUCUGUAUACUGGUUGAAAUCGAGGAGAAACUGGUUCGAUUGCUUGUUCACCGCGUUAUUUAUGUCCAACAUCACCUCCGUGAGACGCUCGAUUUGCUGUUUUGUUGGUCGCGAGGUAAGUGUGG